CUACGGGGGGCAGCCUUUUUGAAUCUUGCACAAUGGAGGAAACUCUGAUGCAGCAACGCCGCUUUUCUUAUUCCCGUUUUCGGAGCGUAAACUCCUUUUAUAUAGGAAGAAGAUGACGGUACUAUAUGAAUAAGCGCCGGCUAACUCCGUGCCAGCAGCCGCGGUAAUACGGAGGGCGCAAGCGUUACUCGGAAUCACUGGGCGUAAAGAGCGUGUAGGCGGAUUAAAAAGUCAGAAGUGAAAUCCUAUAGCUUAACUAUAGAACUGCUUCUGAAACUCUUAAUCUAGAAUAUGGGAGAGGUAGAUGGAAUUUCUGGUGUAGGGGUAAAAUCCGUAGAGAUCAGAAGGAAUACCGAUUGCGAAGGCGAUCUACUAGAACAUUAUUGACGCUGAGACGCGAAAGCGUGGGGAGCAAACAGGAUUAGAUACCCCAGUAGUC
rnacentral:rRNA from 1 species